rnacentral:lncRNA from 1 species
CUGGAAACAAUAGAUGCAACAUGGGAGCUUAAAGAAGAGAGAUGCUGGGAAGCCAUCAUACUUUUCCUGGCUGUUCCAUAUCACCUUACUCUGUUUGGAGAGAUGGUGGUCCAUCCCUACUAAGUGACAGUUUCUCUUUGCAGUCAAUGUGCCAGACCCCAAGAUACCAGAGGUUGUGCUUGGGGUCCUUCCCUUGCUGAGAAGAUAAAGUGGCAACUCUUAUGAAAUCCCACCCUUGCUUCUCCAGCUGCACCACAGCUUUGCCAGCUGGCUUGGGACUUUUCAUUCCCUUCACCUUGGAGAGAAGAGUGUGCUCUGAUAUGAAUGAAGAUACAGGAUCAUUGUGGUCUGUUUUCCCCAUUCUUUGAGCCACCCCAAUGCAGGUACCAAGAGAAGAAACCUUUCUCUCUGCCCUUGAAAGAGUAAUAGGUAAAAUUGGACCUAUUGAAAUAUCAGACUUUGUCUUGUGGAUGGAUCGCUGCCAUCGGUGCAGGGUGAAUGGAAGAAAUAUCCUCCAAACAAAGGAUUUCGUAGGAUGCAAAUAUACAGCUACGUCCAGUGUGAAGCUCCAACACACAUCAGAGUCCUGCAGACACAUGGACUUCAUCUUUUGCAGAGGAGUUUAUCCAGUUUAA